UUUUCCGUCAGUAUUUUGCAGUACAUGAUAGGAAAUAAAUUACAAGAGCGGGCCAUUUUUCAGUUGACGUCGGCCGACGCAAAAUAGUCCAAUUUUCGGCGUAGGGCUACUGAGCUCCGCCGAAUCACAUUUUUGCCGAAAAGGCACAUCCGGUUGUCCUACUGCUGUCGAUAUUCAAAAAGUAAGCCGCAAUGCCUAUAUCUGCCUUUUUGUCAUCGCAGCAUAAACAAAUACAGGCUAGAGAUACAAAAAUAUCUCAACAAAACUUACAUUAGUGUAGUUAUAUCCUGAAUGUAUACUAAAUAUUCAAUAUUGCUAGAAACCGCUAAAUAAUUAAGGAAACUAGUGGCCCAAGGGGCAAAAAA
rnacentral:lncRNA from 1 species